rnacentral:rRNA from 1 species
CCGGUAGAUGUCGAUUUGGAGGUUGUGCCCUUGAGGCGUGGCUUCCGGAGCUAACGCGUUAAAUCGACCGCCUGGGGAGUACGGCCGCAAGGUUAAAACUCAAAUGAAUUGACGGGGGCCCGCACAAGCGGUGGAGCAUGUGGUUUAAUUCGAUGCAACGCGAAGAACCUUACCUACUCUUGACAUCCAGAGAACUUUCCAGAGAUGGAUUGGUGCCUUCGGGAACUCUGAGACAGGUGCUGCAUGGCUGUCGUCAGCUCGUGUUGUGAAAUGUUGGGUUAAGUCCCGCAACGAGCGCAACCCUUAUCCUUUGUUGCCAGCGGUUCGGCCGGGAACUCAAAGGAGACUGCCAGUGAUAAACUGGAGGAAGGUGGGGAUGACGUCAAGUCAUCAUGGCCCUUACGAGUAGGGCUACACACGUGCUACAAUGGCGUAUACAAAGAGAAGCGACCUCGCGAGAGCAAGCGGACCUCAUAAAGUACGUCGUAGUCCGGAUUGGAGUCUGCAACUCGACUCCAUGAAGUCGGAAUCGCUAGUAAUCGUAGAUCAGAAUGCUACGGUGAAUACGUUCCCGGGCCUUGUACACACCGCCCGUCACACCAUGGGAGUGGGUUGCAAAAGAAGUAGGUAGCUUAACCUUCGGGAGGGCGCUUACCACUUUGUGAUUCAUGACUGGGGUGAAGUAGUAACAAGGUAACCA